rnacentral:rRNA from 1 species
CCUACGGGUGGCAGCAGUGGGGAAUAUUGGACAAUGGGCAAAAGCCUGAUCCAGCCAUGCCGCGUGUGUGAAGAAGGUCUUCGGAUUGUAAAGCACUUUAAGUUGGGAGGAAGGGCAGUAAGCUAAUACCUUGCUGUUUUGACGUUACCGACAGAAUAAGCACCGGCUAACUUCGUGCCAGCAGCCGCGGUAAUACGAAGGGUGCAAGCGUUAAUCGGAAUUACUGGGCGUAAAGCGCGCGUAGGUGGUUCAGCAAGUUGGAUGUGAAAGCCCCGGGCUCAACCUGGGAACUGCAUCCAAAACUACUGAGCUAGAGUACGGUAGAGGGUGGUGGAAUUUCCUGUGUAGCGGUGAAAUGCGUAGAUAUAGGAAGGAACACCAGUGGCGAAGGCGACCACCUGGACUGUUACUGACACUGAGGUGCGAAAGCGUGGGGAGCAAACAGGAUUAGAUACCCUCGUAGUC